GACGAACGCUGGCGGCGUGCUUAACACAUGCAAGUCGAACGGUGAAGGAGAGCUUGCUCUCCGGAUCAGUGGCGAACGGGUGAGUAACACGUGGGCAACCUGCCCCAGACUUCGGGAUAACGCUUCGAAAGAGGUGCUAAUACCGGAUACGAACUCCUUGGGCAUCCUUGGAGUUGGAAAGUUUUUCGGUCUGGGAUGGGCCCGCGGCCUAUCAGCUUGUUGGUGAGGUAACGGCUCACCAAGGCGACGACGGGUAGCCGGCCUGAGAGGGCGACCGGCCACACUGGGACUGAGACACGGCCCAGACUCCUACGGGAGGCAGCAGUGGGGAAUAUUGCGCAAUGGGCGAAAGCCUGACGCAGCAACGCCGCGUGAGGGAUGACGGCCUUCGGGUUGUAAACCUCUUUCAGCAGGGAAGAAGCGAAAGUGACGGUACCUGCAGAAGAAGCACCGGCUAACUACGUGCCAGCCGCCGCUGUAAGAC
rnacentral:rRNA from 1 species